UCUGGGGUUGGAGUGAGUGCUUUGCAGGUGUUAGAAAGGGAUCAGCAGCCGCAGCUGGGGAUCGCGGGCGGCCUCUAGAAACUGGAAAAGGCAAGGAAACAGAUCCUUCCUUCAAGUCUCCAGAAGGCAGCCCAGCUGACGCCUCGAUCUUAGCCCUGGAGGAGUCAUUUCAGACUUCUAAUCUCCGAAACGGCCUGUGACCCCAGCUGGGCAACCCGAGUCUUGGAAUUUGAACCUGGAUCAGAGGCUGGAGGGAGUUACAGCGUCCGAUGGCCACGUGCUGGGGAGGUGGUCCACAAACUCAGCCCUGGAAGAGGAAGUGGCAGAGGUGGGCCCAGGUGCCAGUCUCCCAGGAGCUCCACGACAACCCCACGCGGAACCCAGGAUAGACAGUGACCCCAUGUUUCAGAUACACCUCUGAGGCUUGGAGAGAUGAAGCGACCUGCCCACGGUUACAUGGCCCUCUGAGCACAGGCAGACGCAUGGACGCGAUGCCAGCAGCCAGCUCGUGGGCAGCUGGUGGCGGGACUGAGAAGCGCAGGCUCUGGAGACGUGGGGCCUCUGUGAGUUUCUGAAGAGCGUCUCCCCCCAUGCCCUGGCCUCGUUUUCCUCUGAAAACCCAGGGAGUUCGAGCUGGUCUCUGAGGGCCUUCCGGCUCUGAGGGUCACGACUGGAGGAGAGCAGGGUUCUGGGAAAGGCAGCCUCUGGAGAGGAGGCCUCAGAGGUCAAGCCUGGACGAGCGAGCAAGGGGUGAGCAAACAACAGCUGCUGCAUCUUCCCAAGCCGCCCCGGCCCCGGCAAAUGCAGCUCCGGCCCUGCACCCCCUCUUCUUGGGCCGCUGUCCAGGGAAUCCGGCCUUUCUGCCUGUUCUCCACAGCCCUUGGGGACCAGGACCAGGGCAUGGAGAAGGAGGCUCCUGCUGAGAGCUGCAGCCUUGACAUUGGCUUGGCCAUGGCCCAGUGGUCAGGGCCACGGGCUGUGCAAACACCCGAGCCUGCCGUUUGUACCCCUCUACCUGUGGCCACCUUAAAGUCAUCUCAAGUGGCCUGGGGAGACCCAGCU